rnacentral:lncRNA from 10 species
UGCAGUGCUGGGAUUACAGGCAUGAGCCACUGCGCCCGGCCUAAUAUCUGAAAUUAAGAACUCAACGGAUGGGGUCAACAGGACACUGGGCACAACAGAAGACAUAAGUGGUGAACUCAUAGACAAGUGAACAAAAAACUUCCCAGUUGGAUUACAGAGAGGAAAGAAUGGAAAAAACAGAACAGGACAUAACAGAUGUGAUCAAAAGGCCUAAUAUAUGUGUAAUUGGAGUCCCAGGAGUGAAGAGUGAAAAUGAGGCAGAAAAAAAUUCAAGUGAGAAUGGCUAAGAAUUUCCCCAAACUGAUGAAAGGCAUCCACCCACAAAUCCCAAUUUUGUACUUCCAACCACUGUUAUACCACCCCCCUCAACAAUGCCUAUAAAUGUUUGUUGAAAAUGAGUGAAUGAAUGUACUCCAAUCAUUUUCUCACUUGGAUGUUCCCUACUUUUUGCUCUUCUUAGAAAAUAAUAAAUGGUACAAUAAUAUCUCCCA